AAGUCGUAACAAGGUUUCCGUAGGUGAACCUGCGGAAGGAUCAUUAGUGAACGCCCUCACGGGCUUAUAACUAUUCCAAACCUCUGUGAACCGUGCCCUUCGGGGCUAUUUUACAAACAUGGUGUAAUGAACGUCAUAUAUCAUAACAAAACAAAACUUUCAACAACGGAUCUCUUGGCUCUCGCAUCGAUGAAGAACGCAGCGAAAUGCGAUAAGUAAUGUGAAUUGCAGAAUUCAGUGAAUCAUCGAAUCUUUGAACGCACCUUGCGCCCUCUGGUAUUCCGGAGGGCAUGCCUGUUUGAGUGUCAUGUAGACUCAAUCCCUCGGGUUUCCGAGGAGAUUGGACUUGGGUGUUGCCGCUCUGCCGGCUCGCCUUAAAAGACUUAGCGGGAUAGCACCGUAGUCGGCGUAAUAAGUUUCGUCGGUGAAGGUUGUGAUGACUGCUUACAAUCGCCCUCGGGCAAUUUUUGACUCUGACCUCAAAUCAGGUAGGACUACCCGCUGAACUUAAGCAUAUCAAUAAGCGGAGGAAAAGAAACUAACAAGGAUUCCCUUAGUAGCGGCGAGCGAAGCGGGAAGAGCUCAAAUUUGAAAGCUGGCGUCCUUCGGGCGUCCGCAUUGUAAUCUAUAGAG
rnacentral:misc_RNA from 1 species